AUUGAACGCUGGCGGCAUGCUUUACACAUGCAAGUCGAACGGCAGCGCGGGCUUCGGCCUGGCGGCGAGUGGCGCACGGGUGAGUAAUGCAUCGGAACGUGCCCAGUAGUGGGGGAUAGCACGGCGAAAGCCGGAUUAAUACCGCAUACGACCUGAGGGUGAAAGCGGGGGACCGAAAGGCCUCGCGCUAUUGGAGCGGCCGAUGUCGGAGUAGCUAGUUGGUGGGGUAAAGGCUUACCAAGGCGACGAUCCGUAGCUGGUCUGAGAGGACGACCAGCCACACUGGGACUGAGACACGGCCCAGACUCCUACGGGAGGCAGCAGUGGGGAAUUGUGGACAAUGGGGGCAACCAUGAUCCAGCCAUGCCGCGUGCGAGAAGAAGGCCUUCGGGUUGUAAACCGCUUUUGUUCGGGAAGAAAUCCUCUGGGCUAAGACCCCGGGGGGAUGACGGUACCGGAAGAAGAAGCACCGGCUAACUACGUG
rnacentral:rRNA from 1 species